ACGCUGCCGCUGGCAGCCGGCUCUCCCAGUCCGAAAUGACUUGAGAGGUCGAAAAGCCUCCCCAGACCACCCACACCCGGCUGUGGGGCCCUGCAGGCCUGAGCUGAGAGGCGGGCGCUGCAGGGUUUGCCCGCGCCAGGCGGGAUGCGAGGCCUCUCGCGUAAUCGCACCCUUGAGCUCGGCGGCUUCGGGAGGAGCGCAGCUGCUGAGAUCAGACCAGGCCAGGAGGACCAGCGGGUAGCCGGGGUAGACCCGCGAGGGGGUUCGGAUUCGUGGUGCGAUGCCCUGUAGAGCCGCGGGAAGGCGCGAGAGCGCGUUAGGGUGGAAAUAUUCGCCAAGGACCGAGCCCUAGUCCAGGAGCUCGCUGGCGGCUGGAUUCGCUGGAAUGUGGGGGUGGAAAGGACCCCAAGAACCCGGAAACCCAGGUUCCUGCUGGAGCUGCAGAUGCUGUGGAAAGGUGGGGAGCAAGUGUCUAGGCGCUUUAAACAAUGGAUGCCAUCGGGCGCCCCAGGUUGAGAGAAAGGCUACCAGGCGUCUGGCUAAGAAAGAGAUGCAUGGCUGGAGGACUGCUGCCUUUGUGGUCGCUUCUCCGCCGCUUCCAGGAAAGAUGGGUGCGUUGGGGGCAGGUUUGAGCAAACAAAGCCCCUAUUCCUGAGCCGGGCUGAAGCUCAGGCGGAGUCAGAGCUUUGCGCACAACCCUCGCCUCCGUGCGGCUGCGGAUUGUGAGCCCAGGGGUCUGGCACCGCCGGGUCGCUGCGUCCUGACCCUGCAGGAGUACUGCUAAUACAGUGGAACACUGGGCGGUGCUGGCAUCUGCCAUUUCUCGGCACACUGGUACCAUUUUAUUAAAACAAAAACAAGAAAGAUGCAGAAUACAUCAGUGUCCCUAUUUGCCCCUUGUUUUCUCCCCUCUGAUCCCUGUUGGCAUCUGCAAAACUAAAACUUCUCUUCCUCCCUUCCUUCUUUUCUUUCUAAGAUUACUUACAAGAACCAUGCAAUUCAGGGCCUGCAAGAGAAAACAAGAUUUGCUGAGAACAGAGGAGGAAUAGAAUUUGAGGUUUACUGCCCCCCCCCAUAUUCCCUUACACACUUAUCCCAUCCUGCUAGCACCUCGUUGGACAUUCACGUAAAACAGAAACAAUGAUUUCAUCCCAGGCGAGGAGCAGAGGGAAAAAGCAUGGCACUUCGGGCAGUCUGGAAGUUCCGAGGCCCCAGGGAUGCCAGCGAUAAUGAAUCAGGACUGCCAGUGGAAAGGACACACUUAGAAUUCUGUCCUGAAUAGAAGCAAACCUGAGCCAGCCCGGGCGCACUGAACUUGCUUCUCUGCUGUAGGUCGAUUGCACGAAGAAUUUAACCAUUUUCUGCUUCAUGGACUUCAAACAGUAGGCCGGCAAAGAGCAGUAAAAGUUUGUUUGUUUAACAAAAAACCCUGCCACUAAAAAUGAGUUCCUUCUCUGGCUCAGGACUGCCGCAUCCACCUUUGCAGUACCGGCCAUCAACUCCUGGAAUCAGCGGGCCGCUGGGAGGUGAUCGGAGCCUCACUUCUCCCCUCCUCUGGGAUAAAACUCGGAGAGCGGGAAAGGGGAACAACUGCUUGCAGAGGGGGUGGGGAAGAUCCUGGAAAGAGUUGGGGAAAACUGUACAUUUCAAGAUAUUCUAUGGAAAUAAAGGGAACUAAGAGUGGA